CAUCUCCUUUCUAAACCCUAACUCCCUCCUUCCCUAAUUGCAAAACACUCCACCUUGUCAAAAUUCUCUCCCAGAUUUGUUCAAAUUUCCGAUGAUAUGCCGGCUUCACAGCGGCUAUUCAAAUAUAGCGGCACAACUCGAACAUGUAAAGCUACACCAGAUCCGUGUAUGAGAUCAACAAAAAGGACCACUGGAAACCCCUUUAUUCUUUGACCACCGUUAUACUACCCCACCCCGACUAUAUACUCCACCACCUCGAUACUUAAUAACAAAAGAAUUCCCUAAAACCUCCAUCACCCCUACAAAAACCCUCACGAGUGCAGGGGAUGUGGUUGUUGACGGUGUGUAACAGUUGCGGGAAAGAUGGAGGAAGCACCAGAGAUUUGAGGAGGCGAUUCCGAUUCCAGGAGUUCCGUGUGACCUUUUUGGAUAUGAAACUGGACCACCAUGCGGACGCUCCACCCUAGACCACCACCGAUACUGCUUGUUGAUGAGACGUAGGUUCGAAGAUACCUGCCAACUGUUCGAUGAAAGGUUUCAAAGAGUUUUGGUGCUAUAGUUACUUUAACAUUUAAAACAAAGCUAAAGAACUAUGGGCUACCCAAAUGGAUUGGUAUCACAAGGGAAGCAGCCUCUUUUCUCAUUUGGGGUUAUCACAGAUGUGCAGUAUGCUGACAUUCCUGAUGGUUGAUCGUUUCUUGUCGUUCCUAGAUAUUAUAGAAACAACAAAAGGAAAGCUUCAACUGGAGUUAAUUUUCAAGCUAGAGGGGUCAAUGAUAGUACGGGGAGUGAAAACCAAGGAGAACGUGUUAAUGGAACAGAUGACAUUACUGCAUCAGCUUUUUUUAUAUAUAAACUAGUAUUUUUACAUUAUAACAAUAGUUAACAAACAUUUGACUAUGCUUUGUUAUCUAUAAUUAAUUAAUUGUGGCUGCAUCUGGAGUUAAUUUGCAAGCUAGAGGGAUCAAUGAUAGAACAGGGAGUGAAAAUCAGGCUUCUGCAGAGGAAAGAGAGAGGAUAUACACAAAGGAGGAGUGUGUGCGAAUCAGAUGACGAGCCAGGAGUGUCUAGGAUUUGAGCUUCAAUCGACGAGACACCAGAAGGUCCAGGACUCGCGCUUUCAAGAGCUUUCCGUGACUUUUUUGUUAAAGUGCUGCUAGGAUUGAUGCAAUUUUGUGUAUUUAGUAUUCAAGUUGACAAAUUAUGUAUGGAUUUUGGUUUACUAUUGUUAAUAUUAUUAAUAUUAAUUUUGUUUUUUAGGUUUGUUCA